CUUACUUCCUGCCUGGGUGCAUUGAUUUUAUUUCCAUUAUCCAUAAUAUUUUAUUCAUGUAAUUAUCAGGACUGUCUUCCAUCAGGAAUACAUCUGCUCUGUGUGUACAGGUGUACAUCAGUGUCUGUAGUGAUAUAUACUGAGGUUGGUUCGCAUACAGAAGCACACCAACACCGUUACAGAGGGUGAGCACAAGGCAGAAACCCACUAUGAAAUGGUGGGGCCAUCCUGCAUUACACCUGAUCUCCACAUGAAUGCUGAGCUUUGCUGGAGGUGUGGCAGAGGCAGCCACAUUGUCCCACUGAAGGAGCACUGUGAGGGAACAGCAGUGGCUCCUGGCAACAGCCUGGAACUGUGCAGAGGAACUGUUGGAUAAUGUCUUGAAAUAUCCUCAGGAGGUUCUUGUAAGGAGAGGAAGAUUAAAAAAAGCAGAGAAAGGUAUUGCAGCACUGAGCUCUCACGGGAUCUACUCCUAUCAGGGAACAUUAUCGGUGCUUGCCCCAGGAGAGGACAAAGAAGAGGAAGUUCACCCUGCCAGCCUUCGCCCAAGGGUCAGUGCAGCUGCAAGCCCUGCUCUCAGGAGAACAGCACUCAGUGCCCCUGGAAGGAGGGAGGUAGGAUCCGGCAUGGCCGUGAUGCUUGCAGAUAGAAAGGAGCUGAGAAGAGGGGGUUGCAGCCACAGUGCUCAGAGAAGGCUACAUGUAUGCUAGAAGACGUUUCAUUUGCUUCUGCUUUUUUGAAAAACAAAAAAAGAAAUAAACUGAAAGUAAAUCAAAAUAAACAUUCCAGCUUCUACGAGUUCACUGAAAAACAGCCCAGCUGUAAUAACAACAAAUCAUACACAGUGCACAGCUCAUUUUUCCUUCUGUAGGUUAACCAGAGAAGGUCACAGCAAUCAUGUUUAAUAAAAGAAGUCUUGCCUUA